UACGAAGGGGGCAAGCGUUGUUCGGAAUUACUGGGCGUAAAGCGCACGUAGGCGGAUUAGUAAGUCAGGGGUGAAAUCCCGGGGCUCAACCUCGGAACUGCCUUUGAUACUGCUGAUCUCGAGUCCGGAAGAGGUGAGUGGAAUUCCUAGUGUAGAGGUGAAAUUCGUAGAUAUUAGGAAGAACACCAGUGGCGAAGGCGGCUCCAUGGUCCGGUACUGACGCUGAGGUGCGAAAGCGUGGGGAGCAAACAGG
rnacentral:rRNA from 1 species